rnacentral:lncRNA from 1 species
AAUUGAACUAAUAGAGGUCGGUUUGAACACGGAGAAAGACUGGUUAUAUGAAUUGGGUCUAUUAGUGUCACAAUUGACUGUACUCUGGCUAUCUGAAAUCAAUUAUCAAACUACAAAAUACCAAGGCUUACUAUUUUCAUCUUAAUUCAAUCCAUAAUCCAUUCUAUGAUUAUCAAUUCAACAAUAUUUCUCUCAAUCACAAUUCUUCAUAAGCAAAUAAUAAAAAAAACAAAGAGGUAGCAUCAAGCUUACCCCGGCUUACGACUCUCACAAUCUGGCCCUCAGCUUACAACUCUCACAGUUUGACUCUCGCCUUACGACUCUUACAAUCUGGCUCUCGACUUACGACUCUCAGUCUGGUCCUUGUCUUACGACUCUCAGUAUAGCCCUUGACUUACGAUUCUCACAGUCUGGCCCCGAUCGCUCUUUCC